rnacentral:rRNA from 1 species
CAUUCGAGUGGCGGACGGGUGAGUAACGCGUGGGUAACCUGCCUUACACAGGGGGAUAACACCUGGAAACAGGUGCUAAUACCGCAUAAGCGCACAGGGCCGCAUGGCCCGGUGUGAAAAACUCCGGUGGUGUAAGAUGGACCCGCGUCUGAUUAGCUUGUUGGCGGGGUAGGGGCCCACCAAGGCGACGAUCAGUAGCCGGCCUGAGGGGGUGGACGGCCACAUUGGGACUGAGACACGGCCCAAACUCCUACGGAAGGCAGCAG